UCACUUGAGGCUCACAACGUUCCCACGGUAACCACUUUUGCCCCCUCCCUCCCCCUCAAAAAACCUGCUGGUUGCUGGCAAAUAUUAAAUCUUUUACCAUCCGCAACACCUUUGACUAGAGUUGGCUCCCCAUGUAAAGGGCUUCCUGUUCAGGCACAGGCCACGCCCAGCACCGUGAGACCCUACUCAGUGGACUGCUGGUUCUAGGGAGGAGAUGGAGAAGUGAGGACGCUAUGGGGGAACCUGACUCCGCCUACAUAUGACUAAUGGGCCGUUUGCAAUGUGCAUGAAAUUACAUUCUGAACAGCCGAGAGCAGCCAACGUGAGGCCUCUGCAGAGAGAAUUUGGCAUCCAUCUAUCACUUCCAUGUGAGACAAUCUGGAGGCUCUUGCAUUAUUCUCUGCUGUAACCAAGAAAACAAACAAAAGCCUUGCGCCGCCUCACUGAGCAACAGUCGGUCACUGGAAAGGAACUAGAACCAAGAGACCAUACCUUACAUUUUGUUCACGUGUUUCUGAAGCCCGGGUGCUCAUCGGGAGUCCACCAUUCGAUUAAAACUUAACCAAGUCAGCUCAGAGGUUGUGUAAUUAAAAGACUCUGCACACAGGCA